GGCAAAACAAUCUUGAUCGUCCAUUGGCCGAGCUACAGUAAAAACCCACCCCUACUUUUCACCUCGACCAUUGGAUCUGUGAAUUUUUGUGACACUUCUGCAGCCUCUUGUUGAGUCCAUGACUCCUGGGACCGGUUCCGUGCGGGGUCCACUGGUCGGAGGCAGCCACAUGCUCUCGUUUUCGUCCCCUCAUUUUUCUGUGUGCAUACUGGUGGGGUGAAAACCCUAGAUCGAACCCGUGGUGAAAAUCCUCUCUCUACUUGUUUGGCCGUGUGUGUGGCGGCGACGAUGGCGUGCGGGAGGAGGAGCGUGGCGGAGCUGCACCGGCUGCCCCAGGAGAAGAAGAGCAGGCUCAUGCUCUGCGAGUUCCUUCUGCUUGGCGAGAUUCAGCGUAGCGCCAGCGAGCCGACGGAGCUUGAUGGGACGGUCGCGGUGGCGGGCGGGAGGAGGCGGUGACGAUGGCGCGCCGGAGGAGGAGGGUGGCGGAGCUGCACCGGCCGCCCCAGGAGAAGAAGAGGUGGCUCCUGCUCUGCGAGCUCCUUCUGCGUGGUAAGAUUCAGCGCAACGCCGGCAAGCCGACGGAGCCGGAUGGGACGGCCGCGGCGGCGGGCGUGAGGAGGUGAUGCACGAGCCCGGCCUCCUCCGUGCAGUACGAGACGACCGCGCCUCUCCUCUGACGGCCAUCGCAUCUCCUCCACGCCUCCCUGGCUCGCGAGCCCCUCCUUGCUCCUCUCUGCCAUCCACUUGCUGCGUGGCGGUUGGUGGUAGGGGCAGCCCUUGUCUCGUGGGAGGUGGGCACAUAGAGGCAGUAGGGGACGGGUCUCCAUGGCUCCAUUCGUGGAUGCUCCAUGUUUGUUAAUUUCUGGAUCAACUAUUUAGAUCUGACUCUCAAAAGGAUGCGGUUCAGUCUGCUGCAAUAUGGUAUUUUUGGAAGGUCUGAUACAACAGCAAGUGGAGAUUCUCCCAGAGAAUGGAUACUUGAGAUUUCUCUGUUAUUUUUGUUAGGAUACAUGAUCAGGUUACGAUCGGUUUGGCAGCAUAUGUUUAUGUUAACAAAAUGGACACUUCUUGUCAUGCCGAUGAAUUGUCAUGUGAGGCUGAAGUUGCAGAUGAUAAAUAGGGGACACGAUUUUUAUCCAGCAUUCAACAACCUCCAGUCCUAUUAAAAAGACAACAAUCAGAUGGGUUUUGAGAACAGAGGCGAGGCUAGAUGGAACUUUGAGGGCCUCCAGUUUGAUUGUGGCUUGCGAUAUCUAUUUCUCUACAGCAAGUACCACUUAUAUGGUUUUUUUUAUCGUUGCGCAAUAUCCUCACAUGCUUUCCUUUUCUCUGGAGAUUCUUUGAACUAACACCAGCUAUUUCCAAUGAUUCAAGUAUUGGCAGCGGCUGCUAUUUUUUGGUAUGCAUUUCACCUCAGAGGGAAAAGUCUGUGGGGGUAGAGGGCUAUAACAUUUCACAAGUAUUGCAAUGGCACUUAACGAGUUUGUUCUGGUUGUAGCAAUUGUUAUGCAGACUAGCCUGGAGUCUGGUUUUUGUACAGGUAGUGUCCAUCCUGGUUCUGGUGAUUUGAUUUGGGCAAUUCUUCAAGUUUGGUUCUCAUAUAUUGGUCCUAAGAAACUGAGAAUUCUUCACCUGACAUUCUGCAAUUGCUUUCAACCGGGUUACUUAUAACAGUAGUCUAAUGUGGAAAAAAGCAUAAUCUGAGUUGGGCGGCAAAGCCUUGAUAUCUGCUGGUUUAUAAUUUAUUUUUCUACUAUGUUACCUAUAGGAAUUUGACCAGAUUCUGGGAAUUGUUCCCUGUGAAAUCUCUGGCGGCAACGCCUGUACCGAAAUAAUAUCUAGAUGUGCUCCCUGCCACCAUUGGUAAUGAACCAAAUGAUCAAUAUGAUCGCCACCUAUGAUGAGUAUGAUGGCUGAACUGUACGUCACGAUGAUCAGAUCGUUUCUCCACUACAACAAGACAGAUUACAGAAGAUGGCAGCGAAACGGUGCAGCGGUUUGGAGUCUACAAGCCAGGGUACAAUACAGUUCGAGAAUGGGGGUAUUUGUGGACCAAAUUGCCAAGAACAAAUCACAACGAGGUGGCAGUGAUGAUGCUUCUGGUAAUUCGGAAACCCUGGCUGGAAAGAAAUGCAAGUACUUUUGACCAUAAGAGUGCAACUUUGCAACAAGUUUUACAGGGAUAUUUGGUAUGAUUUGACUGUGGCAUAUUAUGGAUAUCACUGAUUAUCCUUACCUUCACUACGACCCUAUAUUGGUCAUUCAACACCUCACUCCAAAGGCACCGCAAUCCCAAGAUAGAUAUACAUUGACCCCAGUAAUGCUGAAAUAUUUUGGGUCAGAGAGCGGAGGACAAUGACGGCUGCCAGCGACCCGGGCCUCCUCACGUGAAGGAUCUUCUCCGUCCACGAUUUCCCGGGCGUCAGAUCCGCGAGCUCCCAUAUAUUUUCCUGAUUUCCUCACGAUUUGCCUCAAGAUUUGCCUAUUGUUGCUGUUUCAGAUUUGGCAGAGCAUUGGUUGAGAAAACACCUCGAAAGAAAAGGAAGGGCAUGCUGGGCAUGGAAGAAGCAAGAUAUUAGAGAUGGGACACCAAGGAGAGGAAGGCAGGUCUCCAGAAUAAAAAAAAGAUAGUUCCAAGAGGAAGGAAAGAAGGAAAGUCUGCGGCUUUGGCAGUAUGGAGAUGUUAAAUCUGAUGAGGAGCAGGUUUCAGGUGCAAGAAAAGCGGGAGGCCGUCGGUAGAUGAGAGCAGAUUACUCAAGACAGUGUUCAUAGUGUAGUGUAAAUGGUCAUGAUUACAUGUGAAGUUUUGGACGCUCCCAGCAGAACUCAGCCGAAACUAUAUGAAGUGACAGGGCUACAUUUAUGCAGUUAGAACAAGCCAAUGCUGAACGUUCUUAGUUUGAGCUGUAUUUGCUGCUCCAUUCAGUUAUUACAUCUUUAGAGUGGAGAGGUAAACUACAUUCUUUCGCCCUUACGAUUAACAAGGUUGUUUCUCUGUGCAAUAUAUUUUGUUGUUAUGAGGCAUUCAAA